rnacentral:tRNA from 1 species
GCCGAGAUCGCAUAGCCCGGUAUUGCGGUGGAUUCGAAAUCCACUGUCCCUUGGACACGGGAGUUCAAAUCUCCCUCUCGGCGCCA